GAUGAACGCUGGCGGCGUGCCUAAUACAUGCAAGUCGAGCGAACGGACGAGAAGCUUGCUUUUCUGAUGUUAGCGGCGGACGGGUGAGUAACACGUGGAUAACCUACCUAUAAGACUGGGAUAACUUCGGGAAACCGGAGCUAAUACCGGAUAAUAUUUUGAACCGCAUGGUUCAUAAGUGAAAGACGGUCUUGCUGUCACUUAUAGAUGGAUCCGCGCUGCAUUAGCUAGUUGGUAAGGUAACGGCUUACCAAGGCAACGAUGCAUAGCCGACCUGAGAGGGUGAUCGGCCACACUGGAACUGAGACACGGUCCAGACUCCUACGGGAGGCAGCAGUAGGGAAUCUUCCGCAAUGGGCGAAAGCCUGACGGAGCAACGCCGCGUGAGUGAUGAAGGUCUUCGGAUCGUAAAACUCUGUUAUUAGGGAAGAACAUAUGUGUAAGUAACUGUGCACAUAUUGACGGUACCUAAUCAGAAAGCCACGGCUAACUACGUG
rnacentral:rRNA from 1 species